rnacentral:tRNA from 1 species
GCGGGAAUAGCUCAGUUGGUAGAGCACAAGCUUCCCGAGCUUGGGGUCGCGAGUUCGAAUCUCGUUUCCCGCUCCA